AUUGCUUCUGGGCCUUUUGGCUAAGAUCAAGCUAAGGUCUGUUCUUCUUAGUUUAAUAUCUGAUACGCCCUCUAUCUGAGGACAAUGUAUUAAAUAGACUUUUGGAAGUAGAAGUUGGAAUAAGAGCUUGCUCUGUCCACUCCACGUAUUGACCUGGUAUUGAAGUACCUCCAGGAAUGGUGCAAAAAAAA
ensembl:snRNA U2 spliceosomal RNA